AUUGAACGCUGGCGGCGGGCCUAACACAUGCAAGUCGAGCGGAUGAAGGGAGCUUGCUCCUGGAUUCAGCGGCGGACGGGUGAGUAAUGCCUAGGAAUCUGCCUGGUAGUGGGGGAUAACGUCCGGAAACGGGCGCUAAUACCGCAUACGUCCUGAGGGAGAAAGUGGGGGAUCUUCGGACCUCACGCUAUCAGAUGAGCCUAGGUCGGAUUAGCUAGUUGGUGGGGUAAAGGCCUACCAAGGCGACGAUCCGUAACUGGUCUGAGAGGAUGAUCAGUCACACUGGAACUGAGACACGGUCCAGACUCCUACGGGAGGCAGCAGUGGGGAAUAUUGGACAAUGGGCGAAAGCCUGAUCCAGCCAUGCCGCGUGUGUGAAGAAGGUCUUCGGAUUGUAAAGCACUUUAAGUUGGGAGGAAGGGCGGUAAGUUAAUACCUUGCUGUUUUGACGUUACCAACAGAAUAAGCACCGGCUAACUUCGUG
rnacentral:rRNA from 1 species